rnacentral:tRNA from 1 species
AAGGGAAUUAGGUUAUCUAGACCAAGAGCCUUCAAAGCUCUAAGAAAAUAAAACAUUAUUUAUUCCCUG